rnacentral:rRNA from 1 species
CUAAGUUUGAUGGCGACCGGCGCACGGGCGAGUAACACGUAUCCAACCUGCCGAUGACUCGGGGAUAGCCUUUCGAAAGAAAGAUUAAUACCCGAUGGCAUAGUUCUUCCGCAUGGUAGAACUAUUAAAGAAUUUCGGUCAUCGAUGGGGAUGCGUUCCAUUAGGUUGUUGGCGGGGUAACGGCCCACCAAGCCUUCGAUGGAUAGGGGUUCUGAGAGGAAGGUCCCCCACAUUGGAACUGAGACACGGUCCAAACUCCUACGGGAGGCAGCAUG